CUUGGUCAUUUAGAGGAAGUAAAAGUCGUAACAAGGUCUCCGUUGGUGAACCAGCGGAGGGAUCAUUACCGAGUUUACAACUCCCAAACCCAAUGUGAACGUUACCAAACUGUUGCCUCGGCGGGGUCACGCCCCGGGUGCGUCGCAGCCCCGGAACCAGGCGCCCGCCGGAGGAACCAACCAAACUCUUUCUGUAGUCCCCUCGCGGACGUUAUUUCUUACAGCUCUGAGCAAAAAUUCAAAAUGAAUCAAAACUUUCAACAACGGAUCUCUUGGUUCUGGCAUCGAUGAAGAACGCAGCGAAAUGCGAUAAGUAAUGUGAAUUGCAGAAUUCAGUGAAUCAUCGAAUCUUUGAACGCACAUUGCGCCCGCCAGUAUUCUGGCGGGCAUGCCUGUCCGAGCGUCAUUUCAACCCUCGAACCCCUCCGGGGGAUCGGCGUUGGGGAUCGGGACCCCUCACACGGGUGCCGGCCCCUAAAUACAGUGGCGGUCUCGCCGCAGCCUCUCCUGCGCAGUAGUUUGCACAACUCGCACCGGGAGCGCGGCGCGUCCACGUCCGUAAAACACCCAACUUUCUGAAAUGUUGACCUCGGAUCAGGUAGGAAUACCCGCUGAACUUAAGCAUAUCAAUAAGCGG
rnacentral:rRNA from 1 species